rnacentral:rRNA from 1 species
GUAGUCUGCAACUCGACUACAUGAAGCUGGAAUCGCUAGUAAUCGCAGAUCAGAAUGCUGCGGUGAAUACGUUCCCGGGUCUUGUACACACCGCCCGUCACACCAUGGGAGUCGGAAAUGCCCGAAGCCGGUGACCCAACCAAAAGGAGGGAGCCGUCGAAGGCAGGUCUGAUAACUGGGGUGAAGUCGUAACAAGGUAUC